GAGACAGUCAAACAGAUUCAAGAUCACUGUUCCUUUCUCUUGACACAUGGCAACUGAAAUUGAAAAUAGGAAGAUGGCACAUUUACUAACCACCCUAUCACAUUGAGAGGGGAAAGCAUGGAUGACUAUCCCUUUAAGAGUAGAGAAUCGCUCCUCUUAUGUCAUCAGCAGUCCCCAUCACAAUCACACUCACACUCACACAUGGAAACUUAAGAGCUGAAAAUACAUUCAUCUUACAUUCAUCACAAGGGUACAGUAUCCUCAUGAAGCAAUUUUCUCAUAGUCAUGGAUUGGAAACAGUUUUCAGCUGUAGACAGUACAACAAACCUACAGGGGCAAGGCAUGGGAAGUUCUCAUUGGACCACUGGGUCCACUUCCUCCUGGGACGAUAAGAUAAUAAUAUGAAAAUGGUUCAGGGAAGAGUGAACAAAUAAAGGAUCGUCCCAAGUGACCUUUUUUUCUGAAGGAGGACAAUGAGAACCGCCAGUCUGUGUCUCCAUGAUGAGAAAUGGAGUUAAUAAACAAAAUGUUGAUAACA